CUUGUGCUGCUGUCAAGAGCUUCAAGCACAGCAGCAUUGGGGUCAGCUCUGGGGGCACCUUUCUCCCACCUCAUUACCGAGACUCUGUCUUUCUGUUUUCUCUCGGUUUUCAGCUCCUUGUGCUUCUGAGGAGGGUGAAGGACAAGAGGAGCCUCCUGGCUGAGAGCCCCAGCACCUCCCGGGGACAGUGGUGGUGGCUACUCCCCCUGCAUGAAAUCCUUGCAGGACUGGCUGCGUCUCAUGACAGUGUUGCUUUCUAUAGGGACUCAUUUGGGUUGCUUACAUCCUGUGCUGGAUUUAGAAGACCUACAGUGUUACCAUGGCAACAGUUUCUCCUUAAGUAUAGAAAUUAUCUGGAGAAGAAAAAGCAACGUGUGCCUGAGAGGGCACAGACACAAGGAGUGCUGCUCGCAGAUUCAUUGCAGGCGUUUCCUGAAUGCAAGGCUACUGCUAUACCACAGCAUCUGUCCUCCAGUCAGAGUAAGAGAAGAGGAACUCAUCUAAGUGUGAUGAAGGCUAUCUGAAGUUUGCCAGUCAGACAAAUGGGCAAGUUCCCUAAAGGAACCAAUUUGGAGUUUCUUAUUUACCUGUGACAUAAAUGUGGGACAGGAAAGAAACCCAUGAAUGGGGGUUUCAAGUAUCAUAGGAAUAUAUGCAACCUCUGAGUUCAGUCCCAUCUUGUUGAACACAUCUGCCAAGGGAGCCAGUCCCUAGGAACUGAAGCCAUGAAUGCUGACUCUGCCAAUACCGUAUCCUGUCUUGGCAAAAUGACAGAAAUUGCACGUGCUUGGACAUAGACCAAUUCCUCCUGGGAUGCCUCUAAAUGAAAAUGACUUCAUAUAUAUAAUUGAAAAGGAAGAUGGUGUGGAGCAAAAGAGAGAGCAGUGAACGAGGAUUCAGGUUACCUGGAGUUUAUGUUAAGCUCUCCCAUCCAUCUGGUGACUGAUGUGGGCCAACUCAGGAAUCUUGAUCUCUCUUUUCUGUUUCCAAGAUGGUGAUGAUGAUACUGGCCUCCUUCAACAAAGUCCCUUGAUACCUGCUUGCUGAAGAUGUGCAUUGUGUGAAAGUCAAAUAUUUCACCAGCUAUGCAGACAAAUGGUCAGCUCCUGCUGCAUUCGAUCCCUGCUCCAACUUGAAUUUAUUAAGUCAGAUAAAAAUACAUGACAGUAGAAGAUAAUUAGUUGCCUUCUGCAUGCAUAGAUACAUAGAUAAUCUGAAUCAGAUGGGAACAAAGAACAGAUGUUCUUUAAACAUAUGUGCAAACAAAAAAAUGCAAAUGUGAACGUUCAUAAGCAGUGAAUAUAACAGGAGAACUGAAUAACAUACGAUUUCAGGAUGUAAGCAACUAUUUUUGUGGAAUGGUUUG